rnacentral:rRNA from 1 species
AUUGAACGCUGGCGGCAUGCUUUACACAUGCAAGUCGAACGGUAACAGGCCGCAAGGUGCUGACGAGUGGCGAACGGGUGAGUAAUGCAUCGGAACGUGCCCAGUCGUGGGGGAUAACUACUCGAAAGAGUAGCUAAUACCGCAUACGAUCUAUGGAUGAAAGCGGGGGACCGUAAUGCCUCGCGCGAUUGGAGCGGCCGAUGUCAGAUUAGGUAGUUGGUGGGGUAAAGGCUCACCAAGCCAACGAUCUGUAGCUGGUCUGAGAGGACAACCAGCCACACUGGGACUGAGACACGGCCCAGACUCCUACGGGAGGCAGCAGUGGGGAAUUUUGGACAAUGGGCGCAAGCCCGAUCCAGCAAUGCCGCGUGCAGGAAGAAGGCCUUCGGGUUGUAAACUGCUUUUGUACGGAACGAAACGGCUCUGGUUAAUACCCGGGGCUAAUGACGGUACCGUAAGAAUAAGCACCGGCUAACUACGUG